ACACUGGUGGUUCAGUGGUAGAAUUCUUACUUUCCAUGUGGUAGACCAGGUUUAAUUCCUGGCCAGUCCA
rnacentral:tRNA from 1 species